UUACGGCCAUAUCAUUUGAAAACGACGGUUUCCGUAAGAUCACUGAAGUUAAGUAACGUCGUACCUGGUCAGUACCUAGAUGGGUGACUUCUAGGGAAUACCAUGUGAUGUAAG